rfam:Brachypodium distachyon strain Bd21 chromosome 4, whole genome shotgun sequence.
UUUAUACUCUCUCCGUCUAACAAAGGAUGUCUCAACUUUGACCAAACUUGAAUGCAUCAAUACACUAAGUCAUGUUUAGAUACAUCCAAAUUUUGAUAAACUUGAGACAUUUUUUGUUGGACGGACGAAGUACGUU